UGCAGCCUGGACAGCAUAGAUGUGAGCUGGAUGCUGGAAAACUUCUAAAUGUAUUUAGGCCCUAAGCGUUUCAUGCGACUGUGUGGAUCAAAGUGCAAUGGGAAGGAAUGACUACAUGCAGAGUCCUAGGAUCAAAUGUGGUCACACAGCAAAGUGGCGUUGGUGGUCUGAAAGAUGGAAACGAUAGCAUUUAGCGGAAGGAAGCAGCUGUGUUUGGAAAGGGCAAUGAUGGCCUUUGAAAGGGAAAUAAAGGAGGACAGACUCCACCGCACCAGCAGCCUCAGGGGACUGUAGG